rnacentral:rRNA from 1 species
GAGUCUUUGUACUUAAUAAGUCAAAACUUUCAACAACGGAUCUCUUGGUUCUGGCAUCGAUGAAGAACGCAGCGAAAUGCGAUAAGUAAUGUGAAUUGCAGAAUUCAGUGAAUCAUCGAAUCUUUGAACGCACAUUGCGCCCGCCAGUAUUCUGGCGG